CCUACGGGAGGCAGCAGUCGGGAAUUUUGGGCAAUGGGCGCAAGCCUGACCCAGCAACGCCGCGUGAAGGAUGAAAUCCCUCGGGAUGUAAACUUCGCAAGGACGGGAAGAAUAAGCGCGGGCGAACACCCCGCGCGAUGACGGUACCGUUUGUAAGCUCCGGCUAACUCCGUGCCAGCAGCCGCGGUAAUACGGGGGGAGCAAGCGUUGUUCGGAUUUACUGGGCGUAAAGGGCGCGUAGGCGGCCACGACAAGUCACUUGUGAAAUCUCCGGGCUUAACUCGGAAAGGUCAAGUGAUACUGUCGGGCUAGAGUGCGGAAGGGGCAACUGGAAUUCUCGGUGUAGCGGUGAAAUGCGUAGAUAUCGAGAGGAACACCUGCGGCGAAGGCGGGUUGCUGGGCCGACACUGACGCUGAGGC
rnacentral:rRNA from 1 species